rnacentral:lncRNA from 1 species
GAGUUAGAAAAUGAUGAUGAUGACGAUGACCACUUAUCCCUGGAUAAGGGCCUGGCCUGGAUCAGGUUUCCCACAAAUACUGGUUCUAAUUCUUGCCACACUGUUUGCUGUGGAGGUCAGGGAGGUCAAUGAAGUUUCACCCAGGAUCCUACAGCUGCUCAGAAGUAGAGUUGGGAUUGGAUCCAGGGGUAUCUGAUCCGAGCUUCAGCCAGGUGUGAAAGGGGUCCUCAGUGGGACGGGCUGUUGCAGGUGGGACCCCAAAGCAGGCUCUGAGACA